rnacentral:rRNA from 1 species
UCAAUGCACCAAGUCUGAUGGAGCGCGCCGCGUGAGUGAUACGUUUUCGGAUCUUAAAACUCUGUUGUUGGGGAAGACGUAUUUGAUACUAACUGAUCAGGUAGUGACCGUAUCCAACCAUAAAGCCACGGCUAACUAUAUGCCAGCAGCCGCGGUAAUA